rnacentral:misc_RNA from 1 species
GAUGAAGAACGCAGCGAAAUGCGAUAACUAAUGUGAAUUGCAGAAUUCCGUGAAUCAUCGAGUCUUUGAACGCACAUUGCGCCCCCUGGAAUCCCGGGGGGCAUGCCUGUCCGAGCGUCAUUUCUACCCUCGAGCGAGUCCAGCAUCUAGGUGCUGGGCCUCGCCCGGCGUUGGAGCACUACGGGAAGCCCUGUGCUGUCCCCCGUAGGCCCCGAAAUGAAGUGGCGGUCCUGCCGCGGCGCCCCCUGCGUAGUAUAACAGCUCGCUUCGGGACCCGGUGGAGGCCUGCCGUCAAACCUAUACUCUCUAAGUUUGACCUCGGAUCAGGUAGGGUUACCCGCUGAACUUAAGCAUAUCAAUAAGCGGAGGA